GAUGAACGCUGGCGGCGUGCCUAAUACAUGCAAGUAGAACGCUGAAGCUUGGUGCUUGCACCGAGCGGAUGAGUUGCAAACGGGUGAGUAACGCGUAGGUAACCUGCCUCUUAGCGGGGGAUAACUAUUGGAAACGAUAGCUAAUACCGCAUAAAAGUUGACAUUGCAUGAUGUUGAUUUGAAAGAUGCAAUUGCAUCACUAAGAGAUGGACCUGCGUUGUAUUAGCUAGUUGGUGAAGUAACGGCUAACCAAGGCGACGAUACAUAGCCGACCUGAGAGGGUGAUCGGCCACACUGGGACUGAGACACGGCCCAGACUCCUACGGGAGGCAGCAGUAGGGAAUCUUCGGCAAUGGACGGAAGUCUGACCGAGCAACGCCGCGUGAGUGAAGAAGGUUUUCGGAUCGUAAAGCUCUGUUGUAAGAGAAGAACGAGUGUGAGAGUGGAAAGUUCACACUGUGACGGUAACUUACCAGAAAGGGACGGCUAACUACGUG
rnacentral:rRNA from 1 species